UACAGAGGGGGCAAGCGUUGUUCGGAAUUACUGGGCGUAAAGGGCGCGUAGGCGGCCUGUUAAGUCGAACGUGAAAUCCCCGGGCUCAACCCGGGAACUGCGUCCGAUACUGGCAGGCUUGAAUCCGGGAGAGGGAUGCGGAAUUCCAGGUGUAGCGGUGAAAUGCGCAGAUAUCGGGAAGAACACCCGUGGCGAAGGCGGCUCUCUGGGACGGUACUGACGCUGAGACGCGAAAGCGUGGGGAGCGAACAGG
rnacentral:rRNA from 1 species